rnacentral:lncRNA from 1 species
GGCCUUCGAUACAUGAUUUUUUUUGGGGGGGGGGCACAUAAUUCAGCUUACAACUAGGCAAAUUGCGUCUUUAGUCUUAGCCUCUUGGGAGAAAGGAAGAAAAGUGCAAUUGGGUUGUCUGUUGGGCCUCGUCCCUUGAAGAGUAGAACUUGGAACCUGCUACUAUUUUUUUGAUGUAUUUAUUUUCAUUAAAGCAUAAUUGAUUUGCAGUGUUGUCCCAGUUUCUGCUAUACAGCAUAGUGACCCAGUCAUUCAUAUAUAUGUGUAUGUGUGUAUAUAUAUAUAUAUAUAUUCUUUUCCUCAUAUUAUCUUCAAUCAUAUUCUUUCCCAAGAGUUUGGAUAUAGUUCCCUGGGCUGUACAGUAGGACCUCAUUGCUUACUCAUUCUAAAUGUAAUAGUUUGCAUCUACCAACCCCAAACUCCCAGUCCAUCACUCCCUCCCCCUCCCCCUUGGCAACCACAAGUCUGUUCUCUAUGUCUGUGAGUCUGCUGUUCUGCAGAUUGAUUCAUUUGGGCCAUAUUAAGAUUCCACAUAUAAGCAAUAUCAUAUGGUACUUUCUUUCUCCUUUGACUUACCUUUACUUAGAAUGAGAAUCUCUAGUUGCAUCCAUGUUGCUGCAAAUGGCAUCAUUUUGUUAUUUUUCAUGGCUGAGUAGUAUUCCAUUGUGUACAUGUAUCAUAUCUUCUGAAUCCAUGUUUUUGAAGCAGCGCAAACCCCUCUAGUCUUUACCCAGACCCACUAAGUAAUCCACUGCCGGCUUUGGGGUUCCAGAACUCCUUCCUCUCGCUUCCUCAAGUCUGUCUUUUAGACAGGGAUCUGUUUCUCUGUUCCUGGCUGAGAAAUAGGUAUCUGUUCUGAGAUGACCUUUCACCUGGAACUAUUAAAAUGCAUUGGUCUUUUGCAGGUAUUUCUGUACCAGGAAAGAGCUCUCAGCCCCUAAAAGUCCCAGAUAGAAAGCUCAUCUACAGCCGGAUGAGAGGCCAAGGCAGUUACUGUUCUCACUUUCCUGUCUGCCCUUCUUCGCUCGCUCUGCAGGGGAAGGCAGGAGACCACACCUGUGUUUGCAGUAUCACAGACAUGCUGGGAUUGGCAAAUGUGCCAUUAGCCCACCAGGCUGGCACAGAAUGGCUACAUCAGAAGGACUUAAAUUUCACACGAUUUAUUACCACACUGAGAGGAGCCUCAAUAUACUGAAGACAGGCACUUUGGGUAAGUUACAGGCACACAGACCCAUAAUAUUCAAUUCCUCUGGCAUGCCUUCAACGUAGGCUCCAUUUCUACCAUUGUUUCUAGCUCCCCUUUUUGUAUACUCUUGUUUCAACCACUGAUUCUAGCCCAGAGGAUUCCUUUCGUUUCCUUAAUCAUUGGGAAGGGAAGAUCCUUUUCCCCUGGACCCCAAGUUCAUUCCUCCACACAGCCAUCUGAACCCAACAGGGGUCCUUCUGUGCUGGAGCCUCAGAACUACAAUGAAUGAGGCGCUCCCUUCUCUAGGUGUAAAGACCCCCCCGUUUGUUCUCUGAAACUGCCCCUGUUGUAACUACUUCUUCCUGCUCUAAAAGCUUUUUCUUGCUUUCUGCCUUUUAUGACUACAAUCUAAAACCACUCUCAUCUCUUCCUGUUCUAAAACUUCAUCAUCCUUUCUGAAUCCAUGUUUUCUCUACAAGUCCUAAUUUUUUUACAACUCUGACCUCGGCGCAGCACUUACUCCAUCUGUUCUUUCUGGCCCUGCUUUCCCAUCAGAAUUGCCAAGCCAACGACUCAUCUUUCAGCCCAAUUUCUCUCCUCACAUGAAAAAAAAAAAAAAAAAAAAAAAAAAGAAUGCUCAGAAGACAUGUACACAUCCAUAGGUCCGGGAAUUUAUUGUAUUUAUUUAGAACUUGAUUUCUUACAAAAAGGAUUUAACACCUUUUGCAAAGAUGCAAACAAUAUGGCAAGAUAAAGCAAGCAAAACGAUGUUUGAAAAAAGAAGAAGAGGCAAAAGGAGAACAAGGCCAGGAGAAGGUGAUGGAGCCGUGAGUGAGGUUCACUGUGGCAUCGUGAAGUCCCAUCUACUUGCUGGUGGUGGCCAUGGAUUUUACCAGAGGCUACUUCAUGGUCAACACAAGAGGGGAAUGAAAUCACUUGUGAAAAUCAACAUCCAGAAGACAAAAGUAAAUUUAAAUUUUUCACGAAAACCACAUAUGAUACAUAUGCAGUAUCAACACUAGAGAUGAAUUUCUGCUCUGGAUCUAGGUCUAGGUUCUCCUAAUAAAGCAGGUUCUCCACAGCA